ACCCAGCAUUUCCCAAACUUAUUUGACUACACACACUCCCUUUUCCCCUCAGUGACUCAGUAGAUCACCUAACAGGGUCUCAAGAAAGUAAUCAUCCUGGAAUGCAUUUGGAGGUGUACUGUCUAGAUUAGCAAGACUUUUGAUGACAGGGGUUGUGCUCAUUUCCUUUGGGCCGUUCUUCUAAUUGGGGUGGGUAAAUUGGGGAAUACACAUUGACCAAGCACACAUGAUGUGUAAGACACUGCACAGUGACUCCUUUUUUCUUUUAAGUUAGAUUAAACAAAAUGUUUAUUUAUUUUGAGAGAGAGGGAGAGAGCAGAGAGGGGGCAUAGAGAGAGGGAGAGAGAGAAUCCCAGGCAGGCUGUGCACUCUCAGUGCAGAGCCCGAUGUGGGGCUUGAAUUCAUGAACUGAAUCAUGACCUGAGCCGAAACCAAGAGCUGGAUGCUUAACCAACUGAGCCAUUCAGGAGGCCCACACAGUAACUCUUUUUAACCUUUAAUUACCCCUAUAUGACAGGUAAUCUGACUUCCAUGUUGCUGAUGCAGAUACUGGAGUUCAAAGAAGUGAAAUAAUGUCCGUAGACCCCCAACUGACCUAUGAAACCCAAGCCCUAGGACCUUUGCACUCUCCUGUGCUGAAGCCUGAAAAACAAAACUGCUGAUGACAGCAUUUUGUACUUUUUACUUGAAAAGUACAACUUUCAUGGAAGGGUUCUGGAGAGGCCCUUGGAGGAAAAUUAAAGAGCCUAUUCAUGUCUCCAACCAAACCUCUUCAAGACUAAGCCUUGAUCUUGAUGUCAGUUUGUAA
rnacentral:lncRNA from 1 species